rnacentral:rRNA from 1 species
AGAGUUUGAUCCUGGCUCAGGAUGAACGCUGGCGGCGUGCCUAAUACAUGCAAGUCGAGCGAACGGACGAGAAGCUUGCUUCUCUGAUGUUAGCGGCGGACGGGUGAGUAACACGUGGAUAACCUACCUAUAAGACUGGGAUAACUUCGGGAAACCGGAGCUAAUACCGGAUAAUAUUUUGAACCGCAUGGUUCAAAAGUGAAAGACGGUCUUGCUGUCACUUAUAGAUGGAUCCGCGCUGCAUUAGCUAGUUGGUAAGGUAACGGCUUACCAAGGCAACGAUGCAUAGCCGACCUGAGAGGGUGAUCGGCCACACUGGAACUGAGACACGGUCCAGACUCCUACGGGAGGCAGCAGUAGGGAAUCUUCCGCAAUGGGCGAAAGCCUGACGGAGCAACGCCGCGUGAGUGAUGAAGGUCUUCGGAUCGUAAAACUCUGUUAUUAGGGAAGAACAUAUGUGUAAGUAACUGUGCACAUCUUGACGGUACCUAAUCAGAAAGCCACGGCUAACUACGUGCCAGCAGCCGCGGUAAUACGUAGGUGGCAAGCGUUAUCCGGAAUUAUUGGGCGUAAAGCGCGCGUAGGCGGUUUUUUAAGUCUGAUGUGAAAGCCCACGGCUCAACCGUGGAGGGUCAUUGGAAACUGGAAAACUUGAGUGCAGAAGAGGAAAGUGGAAUUCCAUGUGUAGCGGUGAAAUGCGCAGAGAUAUGGAGGAACACCAGUGGCGAAGGCGACUUUCUGGUCUGUAACUGACGCUGAUGUGCGAAAGCGUGGGGAUCAAACAGGAUUAGAUACCCUGGUAGUCCACGCCGUAAACGAUGAGUGCUAAGUGUUAGGGGGUUUCCGCCCCUUAGUGCUGCAGCUAACGCAUUAAGCACUCCGCCUGGGGAGUACGACCGCAAGGUUGAAACUCAAAGGAAUUGACGGGGACCCGCACAAGCGGUGGAGCAUGUGGUUUAAUUCGAAGCAACGCGAAGAACCUUACCAAAUCUUGACAUCCUUUGACAACUCUAGAGAUAGAGCCUUCCCCUUCGGGGGACAAAGUGACAGGUGGUGCAUGGUUGUCGUCAGCUCGUGUCGUGAGAUGUUGGGUUAAGUCCCGCAACGAGCGCAACCCUUAAGCUUAGUUGCCAUCAUUAAGUUGGGCACUCUAAGUUGACUGCCGGUGACAAACCGGAGGAAGGUGAGGAUGACGUCAAAUCAUCAUGCCCCUUAUGAUUUGGGCUACACACGUGCUACAAUGGACAAUACAAAGGGCAGCGAAACCGCGAGGUCAAGCAAAUCCCAUAAAGUUGUUCUCAGUUCGGAUUGUAGUCUGCAACUCGACUACAUGAAGCUGGAAUCGCUAGUAAUCGUAGAUCAGCAUGCUACGGUGAAUACGUUCCCGGGUCUUGUACACACCGCCCGUCACACCACGAGAGUUUGUAACACCCGAAGCCGGUGGAGUAACCUUUUAGGAGCUAGCCGUCGAAGGUGGGACAAAUGAUUGGGGUGAAGUCGUAACAAGGUAGCCGUAUCGGAAGGUGCGGCUG